GGCGAGUUUGAUCAUGGCUCAGGACGAACGCUGGCGGCAUGCCUAACACAUGCAAGUCGAGCGAGCUGAUCCCUUUGGGGUGAAGCUAGCGGCGGACGGGUGAGUAACACGUGGGCAACCUGCCUCAUAGAGGGGAAUAGCCUCCCGAAAGGGAGAUUAAUACCGCAUAAGAUUGUAGCUUCGCAUGAAGUAGCAAUUAAAGGAGCAAUCCGCUAUGAGAUGGGCCCGCGGCGCAUUAGCUAGUUGGUGAGGUAACGGCUCACCAAGGCGACGAUGCGUAGCCGACCUGAGAGGGUGAUCGGCCACAUUGGGACUGAGACACGGCCCAGACUCCUACGGGAGGCAGCAGUGGGGAAUAUUGCACAAUGGGGGAAACCCUGAUGCAGCAAUGCCGCGUGAGUGAUGACGGCCUUCGGGUUGUAAAGCUCUGUCUUCAGGGACGAUAAUGACGGUACCUGAGGAGGAAGCCACGGCUAACUACGUGCCAGCAGCCGCGGUAAUAAGUUCCCUGUGUG
rnacentral:rRNA from 1 species